ACUCCUACGGGAGGCAGCAGUGGGAAUAUUGCACAAAUGGGGAAGCCCAUCGAUGCAGCCAUGCCGCGCUGUGUGAAGAAGGCCAUUCGGGCUUGGUAAAGACACUUUUCAGUAGGGAGGAAGGUAGUGUAGUUAACACCUGCAUUAUUUGACGUUACCUACAGAAGAAGCACCGGCUAACUCCGUGCCAGCAGCCGCGGUAAUACGGAGGGUGCGAGCGUUAAUCGGAAUUACUGGGCGUAAAGCGCAUGCAGGCGGCCUGUUAAGUCAGAUGUGAAAGCCC
rnacentral:rRNA from 1 species